GGUAGGUUCCGCUAAGUGGUUGGCAAUCCGGUUUGAACCCGGAGGGGUCCGAAAGGGCAGGAGUUCGACUCUUCAAUCUACCGCCA
rnacentral:tRNA from 1 species